rnacentral:rRNA from 1 species
UACGUAGGGGGCAAGCGUUGUCCGGAAUCACUGGGCGUAAAGGGUGCGUAGGCGGCCGUGCAAGUCUGGCGUGAAAGCCCCGGGCUCAGCCCGGGAAGUGCGCUCGAAACUGCGCGGCUCGAGUGCCGGAGGGGAGAGUGGAAUCCCUGGUGUAGCGGUGAAAUGCGUAGAUAUCAGGAGGAAUACCGGUGGCGAAAGCGACUCUCUGGACGGCAACUGACGCUGAGGCACGAAAGCGUGGGGAGCAAACAGG